rnacentral:sRNA from 1 species
UCGUGCAUCUCUAACAAGCUUCAGGUGAUGCUAAUGCAGCUAGACCAGGCCAUUUUGAGUAGCAAAGAGGUAGGACGGUAGUUAUAUAUUGCUGUAGUGAGAAUCACCUGGGAAGUUUUAAAAAAUUCUGGUGUCCAGACUGCACCCCAUAAGAAGUAUCUCUGGGGAUGAGGCACAAACAUCUGUAUUUUUAAAAAUUCUCCAAGUGAUUCCAGUGUGCCCUCAAGUUUGUAAACUGAGAAUCUACACAGGUAAGUUUCAGGAAGUCUUUCUUUAAUUUGUAAAACAGAUAAAUACGAAGUGAAUUAAUGAGGUUAAAUAGGAAAGUAGAAGAUGUUAGGAAACCCAGAGUCCAUUUCUUAUCCCUGAAGGCCUCUGGAUCUCUUUAAAGUAUCUGGGGUGCCUUGGAUCACCAGAUCUAUAUUCACUGCUUUAUUUUAGAGAUGAAGAUACAGGCCUAAAAAGUGAAAGUGAUUUACCCACAAGCAGAGCUAAUUAGUGGCAGAGUUACAGCUCAGACCUUCUGUUCCUAAGUUUAAUGUUUCCCGCAACUUAUGUAUAAACAAGCUAUGAGGCAGAAACUCAUUUAAUACUUGGCCUGACCUAAUAAAUAUUGAUGAGCUUAAAUAAACUGUGUUUUGGAGACUCUUAGGUAGGAUUAGAAAAUUUUGGAGAGUGUGAGAUCUUUUCUAGUAUUAAGGGCUAUCUAGGUGUUAUGGGUUAGGUUAAUUUUUUUUCUUUUUAGUUUUUUUAUUGAGAAGAAAAUCCCAUUUUUGUUUUUAUUGUUUAGUGUGCUGAGAAUUGUAUUACAGAGUCACAGAAUUUCAUAUGAAGAAGGGACAGGAAGUCCUUGGCUCUAGCCUGUUCUUAUUGAUAAGAAAUGUGAUCUAAUGGCCAUUUGUGUGUGUGUGUGUGUGUGUGUAUGUGACAAAUGCUUUUUGAAACAGGCUUAAGUAUAUAGCAGGAAACAACAAUUAACUGGUUUGUAAUUCUAUUUGGAAUAAUGUUUUAGCCAUGUCACUGGUAUAUAUUUUGUCAUAUACACAAAAGGAGUCAGGUUAUACUAUAUUUUAAGUUACAGCACUUGUUUUCAUCUUAUUGAAAGAUUUCAUUUAUCCAAUGGAUUCCUGGCUUUUAGCAAAAAAUGGAAAUGAAGUAGGAUUUUGCCACAGUUUUAAAAAAUGGAAUGAAAGGGAAUUAAUCUUAAUUUCUGAGUGAAUUAUUUAGAGAGGCAGCAAAGCAUUGUGGUUGAGGCGCAGAUGCUGGAUUGAGAAUGCUUGAAUUUGAAUCCCAUUUUCACUUCAUAUUAGAUGAGUGGCCUUUGGACAAGUGUUGUAGUUGCCUCAUUUUUAAAAUAAGGAUAAUAGUACCUACAUGCCUCACAUGAGCAUUCAAUGAAUUAAUAUAUGGCACCUAGUGUUGUAGAGUUAGCUAAUAUUAUUAUCAAACUGCUAAACUAAUUAAAUGUAAAGCUCUCUCAUUUAUUUUUUGAUAUGUUUAGUUUUUUGGUAUGUUUUUCAUCAGAAUACCACUAUUUUCAUUUUAGUUGCUACUCUUUGAUUAUGACAAGGUGGAACUAGCCAAUAUGAACAGACUUUUCUUCCAGCCUCAUCAAGCGGGAUUAAGUAAAGUUCAAGCAGCAGAACAUACUCUGAGGAACAUUAAUCCUGAUGUUCUUUUUGAAGUACACAACUAUAAUAUAACCACAGUGGAAAACUUUCAACAUUUCAUGGAUAGAAUAAGUAAUGGUGGGUUAGAAGAAGGAAAACCUGUUGAUCUAGUUCUUAGCUGUGUGGACAAUUUUGAAGCUCGAAUGACAAUAAAUACAGCUUGUAAUGAACUUGGACAAACAUGGAUGGAAUCUGGGGUCAGUGAAAAUGCAGUUUCAGGGCAUAUACAGCUCAUAAUUCCUGGAGAAUCUGCUUGUUUUGCGGUAUGCAUUAUUCUUUUUGGAGUAUUCUUCACUGUUAGGUACCCGAGUUCUAGGGGCACUGAAAAUGUAUUACAAUUCAAAGAAAAAACAAACUUGGAUGGAAUACUAUUUGGAACAUCUCAUGCUUUUCCUCUUUUUUUUGAAAUGUGUUUUCUUUUAUUUUUCAUGUAGUGUGCUCCACCACUUGUAGUUGCUGCAAAUAUUGAUGAAAAGAGUCUGAAACGAGAAGGUGUUUGUGCAGCCAGUCUUCCUACCACUAUGGGUGUGGUUGCUGGGAUCUUAGUACAAAAUGUGUUAAAGUUUCUGUUAAAUUUUGGUACUGUUAGUUUUUACCUUGGAUACAAUGCAAUGCAGGAUUUUUUCCCUACUAUGUCCAUGAAGCCAAAUCCUCAGUGUGAUGACAGAAAUUGCAGGAAGCAGCAGGAAGAAUAUAAGAAAAAGGUAGCAGCACUGCCUAAACAAGAGGUUAUACAAGAAAAGGAAGAGAUAAUCCAUGAAGAUAAUGAAUGGGGUAUUGAGCUGGUAUCUGAGGUUUCAGAAGAGGAACUGAAAAAUUCUUCAGGUCCAGUUCCAGACUUACCUGAAGGAAUUACAGUGGCAUACACAAUUCCAAAAAAGCAAGAAGAUUCUGUCACUGAGGUAACAGUGGAAGAUUCUGGUGAAAGCUUGGAAGACCUCAUGGCCAAGAUGAAGAAUAUGUAGAUAAUGGACUGGGAUAUAUUUUAUUUCUCAUGUUAAAGCCUCUUCCCUUGAAAUUAAAAAAAAAAAAAAUUUAACUGAUAAAACUUAGGGCAACAUUAAUUAAUGUAUAUUCUUACCUGAAUUGUUAUACUUUUUGAAAAUCCUGUGACUUGCCUGUUUCUCCCCGCUCCAACGAAAUCAUUAAUUUUCCUAAAAUGUGUUUCAUUCUAGUAAGAAAACCUCAAAGGAUAUUGUAGAAUGUAAAUCUUACUUGAAAACAUAGCUGUUGAAAUGUUUUGGCCUUUUGGAGUGGGGGAAGGACAAAUCUGAUCCUGUAAUCUUUUUCUUUCCAGUAAUCACUUGUGUCUGUUGCAUGAGGACAUGGACAAUAAAGUAGUAUAUGAUCCUCAGAUACAGGGAGAAGGACAAGGCAUACAGCUUAUUGAUUAGAGCUGGCAAGCAUCUGCUCAUUAUGUUUGGAAUUGCUUUCUAUAAGAAAAUUGCCCACUAAUACUAACUUGAUCAACAAUGAAUUAAAAUAGUUAACCUAUGAAAUAACAUCCUCUUAAAUGUUUGCUGAUGAAAUACAAGUUGAAAUGUAGUUAUUGGAAAAGUCUGUAACCUGCGGAUUAUAUAUAUUCAAAGUGAGACAAAGGCAAAUAAAAAGCAGCUAUCUUCAUGAAUAGACAAAGUUGAUUUCAGGAAGUAUAAAUUAUAUUCUGCACUGACCAAUGAACAGAAAUUAUUGCAUCUGUGGAACAUAUAUCUGGAGUUACUAUACUUUACUGAAGAGCAAGGCAUAAAUUUAGACUAAAAUCCAUCCAGAUUACACUCAUUCUUUAGGCUACUCCUGGAUACUUCAUUUAAAUUUGAUUUUCGAGGUCGUGAGAUGUCGGCAAGGUUUGUCCUGUAUAUUAGGCAUAAAGGAAAAGUUCUAAACUGCCUCUGCAAUGACUUAUAGUCAGUGGAAGAGUAUCACUUUCCCCGAUCAUGACCACUAAACUGUAAAUUGAUAUAAAUCAGUUUUCUCUUGAGUUACACCCAAGUAAUGAAGACUUAAGAGAACCUUGGUUGAAAUAAAUUUCCAAUAAUUUGGAGACUCAUAAAUACCAUGCAGGUGUAACCACUGCCAGUAGGCUGUUUCUAUGCUUACUUCCUAUUUUGAUUUUUACUUUGAAGAUAGAUAGGAAUAUCUAAAUUAUAUCUCUAGGGAGAAAAUGUCGUAAGAAAUUAAAAGUACAUCCCUGAUUGUAAAAUAAAGUUAAAAAAACUGAUUUCAGAAA